AUUAGAUUAGCUUCCUUUUUUUUUUGUCAUCUGAUUUUUAUUAAAACUUCAAGAUAGGAUACAAGGUGAAAUACUUAAGCCGGCGGAAAACAAAGAUUACCCCAGAGUCUAAAGCCCAAAAGAGGGAAGCUAAGCCGGCGGACAAAGGAAAAGUCCCCGGAGACAGAGUCGGAGAAAAAAAAGAAUUCCCCCAAAUCUAAGUCUACGCUAAAAACAACAUAAACUUUUAAAGCCGAAAUCGAAUGAGAACGAAACCAAAAACUAAGAAAAGAAGCAAACUAAAAA
rnacentral:lncRNA from 1 species